GCUUCCUUGGCUCAGUUGGUAGAGCGUUGGUCUCAUAUUUCUAUGAGUGGUCUCUGAUUACGUAAUCCAAAGGUCGAGAGUUCGAGCCUCUCAGGGAGCA
rnacentral:tRNA from 1 species